rnacentral:rRNA from 1 species
CAGCCGCCACGGUAAUACGAAGGGGGCUAGCGUUGUUCGGAUUUACUGGGCGUAAAGCGCACGUAGGCGGACUUUUAAGUCAGGGGUGAAAUCCCGGGGCUCAACCCCGGAACUGCCUUUGAUACUGGAAGUCUUGAGUAUGGUAGAGGUGAGUGGAAUUCCGAGUGUAGAGGUGAAAUUCGUAGAUAUUCGGAGGAACACCAGUGGCGAAGGCGGCUUACUGGACCAUUACUGACGCUGAGGUGCGAAAGCGUGGGGAGCAAACAGGAUUAGAGACCCGUGUAGUCCCUGUCUCUUAUAC